ACCCUGGGAUCAUGACCCAAGCCAAAGCCAGAGGCUUUAACCCACUGAGCCACCGGAAGUGAGGCAUCUUUAUAGUGAAUAGGAAUUUUCCAGAACUAUUAAAAGGUAUCCAUACGUACAAGCAGUUUAAAAAGAGAAGGCUAUACUUAGACCUAUAGGAGUAAGACUGCAGCAGCCUCAAGUGAUUUUUUUAAAUAACCAGAGAGAAUGAAAUGUGUAAAACUGAUGAAUCACAGACCUGUACCCCUGAAACAAAUAAUACAUUAUAUGUUAAUUUAAAAAAAUAAAAAAUAUUCCUGUUCUAUGGAAAUAAGUAAAUGACCAACCAGAGAGAGAAAAAAAA